GAGUUUGAUCGUGGCUCAGAGUGAACGCUGGCGGUAGGCCUAACACAUGCAAGUCGAACGGUAACAGGUCUUUCGGGAUGCUGACGAGUGGCGGACGGGUGAGGAAUACAUCGGAAUCUGCUCAGUCGUGGGGGAUAACGCAUGGAAACGUGCGCUAAUACCGCAUACGACCUUCGGGUGAAAGCAGGGGAAUCUUUAGGGAUCCUUGCGCGAUUGAAUGAGCCGAUGUCGGAUUAGCUAGUUGGUAGGGUAAAAGCCUACCAAGGCGACGAUCCGUAGCUGGUCUGAGAGGAUGAUCAGCCACACUGGGACUGAGACACGGCCCAGACUCCUGCGGGAGGCAGCAGUGGGGAAUAUUGGACAAUGGGGGCAACCCUGAUCCAGCCAUACCGCGUGGGUGAAGAAGGCCUUCUGGGUUGUAAAGCCCUUUUGUUGGGGAAGAAAAACAACGGGUUAAUACCCCGUUGGUAUGACGGCACCCAAAGAAUAAGCACCGGCUAACUUCGUGCCAGCAGCCGCGGUAAUACGAAGGGUGCAAGCGUUACUCGGAAUUACUGGGCGUAAAGGGUGCGUAGGUGGUUGCGCCAGUCUGUCGUGAAAGCCCUGGGCUUAACCUGGGAAUGGCGAUGGAAACUGUGCAACUAGAGUGUGACAGAGGGUGGUGGAAUUCCUGGUGUAGCAGUGAAAUGCGUAGAGAUCAGGAGGGACAUUCGUGGCGAAGGCGGCCACCUGGGUCAACACUGACACUGAGGCACGAAAGCGUGGGGAGCAAACAGGAUUAGAUACCCUGGUAGUCCACGCCCUAAACGAUGCGAACUGGAUGUUGGGUCCAACUUGGGAUUCAGUAUCGAAGCUAACGCGUUAAGUUCGCCGCCUGGGGAGUACGGUCGUAAGACUGAAA
rnacentral:rRNA from 1 species